AUAGAGUACCUUACUCACUACCCUUUGUGAACUAUUAUACCUGUUGCCUCGGCGGCGCCCCCUGUGGGCGCCCGCCGGUCUACUAGAAUCUCUGUUUUCGAACCCGACGAUACUUCUGAGUGUUCUUAGCGAACUGUCAAAACUUUUAACAACGGAUCUCUUGGCUCCAGCAUCGAUGAAGAACGCAGCGAAACGCGAUAUGUAAUGUGAAUUGCAGAAUUCAGUGAAUCAUCGAAUCUUUGAACGCACAUGGCGCCUUCCAGUAUCCUGGGAGGCAUGCCUGUCCGAGCGUCGUUUCAACCCUCGAGCCCUCGUGGCCCGGCGUUGGGGAUCUGCCACGGCAGGCCCCGAAAUACAGUGGCGGACCCGUUAGGCCCUUCCUUUGCGUAGUAGCAUUAGCCUCGCAUUGGGAGCCGACGGGCUCUCCUGCCUCUAAACCCCCCAACAAGCCCGCUCCGGCGGCACCAAGGUUGACCUCGGAUCAGGUAGGAAUACCCGCUGAACUUAAGCAUAUCAAUAAGCGGAGGAAAAGAAACCAACAGGGAUUGCCUCAGUAACGGCGAGUGAAGCGGCAACAGCUCAAAUUUGAAAUCUGGCUCCUUCGGGGCCCGAGUUGUAAUUUGCAGAGGAUGCGUCGGGUACGGGUGCCUUCCGAGUUCCCUGGAACGGGACGCCAUAGAGGGUGAGAGCCCCGUCUGGUAGGACACCCAGCCCGUGUGACGCUCCCUCGACGAGUCGAGUAGUUUGGGAAUGCUGCUCUAACGGGAGGUAUACUCCUU
rnacentral:rRNA from 1 species